GUAUAUCAAGGUUCCGCUGAGGAUGAGGCCACUGGGUGAUGUGGAAUAAAGUUUUUGUUUUGCUUUGUUUUGUGUUGUAUUUUGUUUGCAGUACUGUGGAUUGACCUAAUGUCUCUGACCUAAGACCAAUUGCAUUGAACUAUGUCUUCAGCCUUUGUGUUGCUACUGCUGUUGAGACAGUUUCUCAAUAAUGUAAACAAAUGAGCGCCUUGCCAGGAAGCAGCGCUCAUCUUAUGGCUUCUCAGAGGACUGCAGAGCCUGCCACUUAAGGCUGAUGGCUUAUCUCCUGGGGUACGGCAAGGUGGGACAGGGAAGAGGGAGAGAAAGCAGUCACAAUGCCAUGGCAAUGCUGAAUACUCCAGAAUGGAAUUGUACCAUUUGAAAGUGAUAUUCAGACUCCUGGUCAGCAUCUGAGAGAAGACUGAAAGCAGAGGCUUUCUCCAGGCUGCGGGAGGCCACCAAGCCUAUUCCUGAACAGUUACAACCUUCUGCUCCCUGUCUCAUUUGCAUAACAAUAAGUCCCCAGAGAAGAAGACUCCUAGCUAGGAGAAGAGUAAGACCAGCAACACUCAGGAGCAGCACUAGAAAACAGAUCAACAUUUUAUUCAUUCAUAAAACAAAUAUUGGGGUUCCUACUAUGUACCAGGUGCUGCUUCAUGUGCGAGAAGUAAGCUUAGGAUAAAUUUAAGGUCGAUUGAUAUUAUAGGACAUUGACAACCAGACCAAUAAUUAUAAAAAUACAGUCACCUUUCCAUAUCUAACAUUGCUAUAUCAAUGGAUUCAAUGAAAAAGUUAGAAAAAAAUUCCAGAAAUUUCUGAAAAGCAAUACUUGAACUUACCAGAUGCUGAGUACUAUGCUAAAUCCAUGUGAGUAAAGUGAUACAUAGGCAUUAGAUGAGGUACUUUAAGAAAUCUAAAGUUAACUUUAAGUACAGUAAUACCUUAAUUCAUGAACAGUUCUGUUCACAAGCAAUUUGAUUCCUGAAAAGAAGCAUUCAACAACAUUUUGCUUCCAUCUGCACUCAGUAUUGAGUGAUGAACUCCACCGUAGCCACCUUCUCUGCUCUAUACAAACAUGAACACGGCCAUCUUUCCCACUGUGAUGUGUGGUUGUGGCUUCCUCUAGUUGAGAUUGAGGUUGCAGACACUUGCUAUGAAGCUGUUCUGUAUGUUUUAAGCACACAGAACACUGUACAGUAUUAUUCAGUCCAGCAUGGCUCCAAAGAAAGUGCAGAGCUAGUGUGGUGUGAAAAGAAAGUGUAGAAUGGUAAUGAAGGUGGCAAAAAUAUGUGGAGUGAUAACAAAGGUGAACAGAAUGCAUAGAGUGGUGAUGAAGAUAACAAGAAAGUGCACAGCAUGAAUGUAAGAAGGUUUUGAAGAACGUAACUGUUGAGUUGAAGAAGGAAGCUGUAGAAAAUCAUGAGGAUGGGAUUGAUGUGGCUGAUCUGGCCUCAGAGUACAAGAUGGCUAAGUUAACAACCUCAGCUAUUUUGGAAAAUAAAGAUGCCAUCAAAGGAGCUGACACUGCAGCAGGAGUGAUGAUGUUAACCAAGCAGAGAACUCAGUGCUGGAAGAGGUGGACAAGCUGUUGUUAGUGUGGCUGAACGACAAAUAGUCAGCAGGUGAUAGCGUUAGCGAAGCUAUGGUCUGUGGAAAGCCAGGAAACCACACAGUGAUUUGCUGCAAGAAAAGCCCUCUGCACAUGCAACAAGUGAUUAACUUAAAGCCAGUAGAGGGUGGCUUGAUAAAUUCCCCAAGAGAAGUGCCAACCACUGGGUGGUAAGACAUGAUAAGGCUUCCCAUUCCUAAAGGCCACUGCAGAAGAGAUAAAGAAUUCACUCAGUUCAUGAAAUCAGAAGGCUACACCAAUUCAACAAGUGUUCAACUGCAAUGAAACAGGCCUGUUCUGGAACAAGAUGCUGAACAGAACCUGUAUCAUGCAGGAGAAGAAGGCGCUGAAGGGGCACAAGCCCAAGCCCAUAGGCACAAGCCCAUGAAAGGCAGAUUGGCUCUUUGGCUGUGUGCAAACAGAUCUGAUUAAGCCACUACUGGUGGCCCAUUCCCAGCCCCUUUGUGCAAGGAACAGAAUGCAAACAAGGCCAGAUCAUUUGUCCUGUGGAGGGCCAAUGUAAAAGCUUAGGUCUGAGGCAAUUGUUCAUGGAAUGGCUGCACUGAGUAUGCAUAUCUAUCAUUAAGAAUUAU